rnacentral:rRNA from 1 species
UACGGAGGGUGCAAGCGUUAUCCGGAUUCACUGGGUUUAAAGGGUGCGUAGGUGGGUAGGUAAGUCAGUGGUGAGAUCUCCAAGCUCAACUUGGAAACUGCCGUUGAUACUAUUUAUCUUGAAUAUAGUGGAGGUGAGCGGAAUAUGUCAUGUAGCGGUGAAAUGCUUAGAUAUGACAUAGAACAUCGAUUGCGAAGGCAGCUCGCUACACUAUUAUUGACACUGAGGCACGAAAGCGUGGGGAU